GGUCAAACUCACCAUGAAAGGGAAGCGUUCUGGAUUGAUUUGGGACACGGAGGUGGCCACAGCAGCACAACUGAAAACACUCAUGAAAGAGGCCUCCGGAGCUGCUUCAAAAAGUGGCACUCGAGUGGUUCCCAGGCUCUGGAAAAAGCAAGGAGAGGCCCAGCAUCCCACAGAGGACCAGGGGUCAUUCAAAAAUCUGCAUUUGAAGAUAUUUUCUGCCCCAUUGGUAAAACUCUAAACAGAUACUGACUUCCAUAUUCUCCAUUGUGUAAAUUUCUAAUAUAAGUUAAUGAAUGAUCAGCUGAAUAUAUCUCCUUAUUUACAGCUCCAUUUAGGAUAGUAAUAUUGUAUCGUAGACCCAUGAAUGUACACAUUCAUGUCAUGCCCUGUUUUAGAAUAAUAUCUUUUGUGUCUGUCAUUAGAAAUAGUAAAUAAAAUAUUCUAUAUUUCUAUCAUUGAUCCCACAAAGGUGAGGUUUUGAAUGGCUCAAGACAGUAUUUUAAAUGAACUGGCAAACAUAGGCAGAUGUUUUCUGCAACCAUUGAGCCAUUUGGUUUGGGGCUGACCCUAGGGACACACACCUAGACUACCACUGGCGUGUACACUGGGAGAAGGUGCACUGCGAAGUCCACACUCAUGCAUCACUAAGUGUGUACAGGGCAGGCAACCUCACACACUGUGUUUGACCUGGAACCCAACCUUGGCCUAAAACCCCAACACAACUUCAGAAUGCACUACAUACUCUGAACAAAAAUAACCUAUCCAAAGCCUCAAAACCAGUUGAAAGCCCAACAAAUGAAACCUCCUCAUAAGAUCAGGAAAAGCACUACUUCACUCCUGCUCUUUAAUUUCUCAUGUCCAACCUGAUGAUAGUCCCCAGAACCAUGAAGAAAAAUUGAUCUCGGAAUCAGAGUUGGGCCCAAAUCAUUUCGCCACAUGUUGGUUUUAUGAACUUGGAUGGUAUCACCUCGCUCUUUCUACUUCAGUUGUCUCAUCUGUAAAUCUAAUUUACCUCAUUGAGAAAGAAACAUAAACGUGUGUUGUGAAACUGCUUUAAAACUCAGAAGGGCUGUAUCGUGUGCUUUUGUCCUUGGUGGGCUUGGUAUUUGUGCUCGGGGUGAUACCCUGAUAUCAGAGUCAAGACAUUAGAAGAAAAAGGAAAUGCUAGAACAAUGGCAGGAAUAGAGAAGGUAGGACAGCUUGCUCUCUUUCUAUUCAAUCAAGGACUCAUAAGGCAACUACACUAGACAUAAUACUAGUAUUG
rnacentral:lncRNA from 1 species